rnacentral:rRNA from 1 species
AUUGAACGCUAGCGGCAGGCCUAACACAUGCAAGUCGAACGAGUGGCGGACGGGUGAGUAAUGUCUGGGAAACUGCCUGAUGGAGGGGGAUAACUACUGGAAACGGUAGCUAAUACCGCAUACCAUUCGAUGUGCCCAGAUGGGAUUAGCUUGGUGGUGGGGUAACGGCUCACCAAGGCGACAUUCCCUAGCUGGUCUGAGAGGAUGACCAGGCAAACUGGAACUGCGGACAGGUCCAGACUCAUACGGGGGGCAGCAGUGGGGAAUUUUGGACAAUGGGAGGAACGCUGAUGCAGCCAUGCCGCGUGUAUGAAUGAGGCCUUCGGGUUGUAAAGUACUUUAAGCGGGGAAGCGGUACCCGCAGAAGAAGCACCGGCUAAAUCCGUGCCAGCAGCCGCGGUAAUAC